CGUCUGUGUGCAUCUCAAAGCAACCCCGGGCGCGUCCACGCACUAGCCGAGCCAGCGCAGCAGUUUGAGCGAGCCGAGAGCAAGCCAACCUCAAGAUACCUGUCCAGCGAGGGACGUGCCUGUGGCGCUCCAUCGCGGCAGCUCGGUGUGUGGUGCAGUGCGGCAGAUCUAUGGCGCCGGUGGCCGCUUCUUCCUCCCUUGUAGCAGGUUUUCGUUUGGUCCCGCCGCGGUCGUUUGGACUGGAUACUUGGCCAUGGCGGCGGCUACACGCGGCGGCGAUGAGUACACUCCCAUCCGAUGACCAAAUCGCAAGCACCAGAUCUUGUGGGCAGAGGUGCUUGAGAUCUCCCAAUAGGAGAAAAAGGUGUGAAACUCUUCGUAUUUGCUCAUGCUGUUCCCAUCCACAUGAGGCAUUCUAACACUAGUACUGAGGAGGUUGAGAUGAACAUGAGGCGCACAUGGAGCAAAAAGAGUAGCACUACAUUCAAGUCAAAUGCUGCAUAAGUAACUCCUGAUCAGAACAAUUCAGUACUCUAUUUUUCUUAGUAAGAACAUGCUGAAAAUACCUAGCUACAUAGGUUUAAGUAUGUAUUUGUUGGCUGUGAUAAAACUACACAAAUCUUUACUAACAUGGAUGCAUAUAGGCUGUCAGUUUUACUGCACAAAUAUGUUGGCUUGGUGCAGAGCAAAGAUGACAGCUUAGCGAAGAUGGGCCUUCCGACAAGUGAUGAAAUGCAGAAGGAAGAAAUUGCCUGCGUAUGCAAAGAUGAUGGCAAACUGGGGGACCUCAAACUGUUCGCAAAGGCUCAAUUUGGCUACAAUACUUUUAGUUAGAAUGAAUAUGGUUGUAAUGUAAAAGUUGUAUGUCUGUAUUGUAAAGAACUAUGUGCAAUUUCAAGGUUGCUUCAAAAUUGAAUGUGAUAUUGAUUUCUGUACAAAUAAGAGCAUCAUCUGAAGGAAAGAAGGAUUGCUGGUCAAAGUAAGCAU